AUUGAACGCUGGCGGCAGGCUUAACACAUGCAAGUCGAACGGAACCUUCGGGUUUAGUGGCGAACGGGUGAGUAACACCUAGGAAUCUGCCUAUUAGUGGGGGAGUAACGGACGUCGAAAGGGUACGGCUAAUAACCGCCAUACGUCCUACCGGGAGGAAAGAAGGGGGAGUCUUCGGACCUCUUGCUAAUAGAUGAGCCUAGGCCGGAUUAGCUAGUUGGUAGGGUAAAGGACCUACCAAGGCGACGAUCCGUAGCUGGUCUGAGAGGAUGAUCAGCCACACUGGAACUGAGACACGGUCCAGACUCCUACGGGAGGCAGCAGUGGGGAAUAUUGGACAAUGGGGGCGAACCCUGAUCCAGCCAUGCCGCGUGUGUGAAGAAGGCC
rnacentral:rRNA from 1 species